UUCAGGUUAACUAUAAGCUGUAUCCAGAUCAAGAGAGUCCAAGCUCUAAUGACACAACUGCUGGUUUUAUUCCAGUUUAGAGAUUGUUUUCUUCUUAGGCUGAGAUAUCUAGAGGGAAUGAAGUCUUCACAGUACUCGCGAAAUACGUCAAAAUUCUUUUGUGUCACAUGACUUACCUAUUUAAUGUACUUGAUAUAUAUAUAACAUGUAGUUCUUUUCAUCAUACAAUUUAUAUGUGGAUACAACACUGAAG
rnacentral:misc_RNA from 1 species